rnacentral:rRNA from 2 species
GCUGCGCGGGUCUAUCUGCAGUCGAACGCUUUUUUCAAUCAUCGUAGCUUGCUACACCGAUUGAAAAUUGAGUGGCGAACGGGUGAGUAACACGUGGGUAACCUGCCCAAAAGAGGGGGAUAACACUUGGAAACAGGUGCUAAUACCGCAUAACCAUGAUGACCGCAUGGUCAUUAUGUAAAAGAUGGUUUCGGCUAUCACUUUUGGAUGGACCCGCGGCGUAUUAACUUGUUGGUGGGGUAACGGCCUACCAAGGUAAUGAUACGUAGCCGAACUGAGAGGUUGAUCGGCCACAUUGGGACUGAGACACGGCCCAAACUCCUACGGGAGGCAGCAGUAGGGAAUCUUCCACAAUGGGCGCAAGCCUGAUGGAGCAACGCCGCGUGAGUGAAGAAGGUCUUCGGAUCGUAAAACUCUGUUGUUAGAGAAGAACAUGCAGGAGAGUAACUGUUCUUGUAUUGACGGUAUCUAACCAGAAAGCCACGGCUAACUACGUGCCAGCAGCCGCGGUAAUACGUAGGUGGCAAGCGUUGUCCGGAUUUAUUGGGCGUAAAGGGAACGCAGGCGGUCCUUUAAGUCUGAUGUGAAAGCCUUCGGCUUAACCGAAGAAUUGCAUUGGAAACUGGAGGACUUGAGUGCAGAAGAGGAGAGUGGAACUCCAUGUGUAGCGGUGAAAUGCGUAGAUAUAUGGAAGAACACCAGUGGCGAAAGCGGCUCUCUGGUCUGUAACUGACGCUGAGGUUCGAAAGUGUGGGUAGCAAACAGGAUUAGAUACCCGGGUAGUCCAAAA